rnacentral:rRNA from 1 species
CGUGCAGGCGGUUUCGUAAGUCGGACGUGAAAGCUCCUGGCUUAACUGGGAGAGGUCGUUCGAUACUGCGGGGCUUGAGGUCGGGAGAGGGACGUGGAAUUCCCGGUGUAGUGGUGGAAUGCGUAGAUAUCGGGAGGAACACCAGUGGCGAAGGCGACGUCCUGGCCCGCACCUGACGCUGAGACGCGAAAGCGUGGGUAGCGAACG